rnacentral:rRNA from 1 species
AUUGAACGCUGGCGGCAGGCCUAACACAUGCAAGUCGAGCGGAGCGGCGGACGGGUGAGUAAUGCCUAUGUAUCUGCCUGGUAGUUGGGGAUAACGUCCGGCAACGGGCGCUAAUACCUCCUACUAUCAGAUGAGCCUAGAUGGGAUUAGCUAGCUGGUGGGGUAAAGGCCAACCAAGGCGACGAUCCCUAGCUGGUCUGAGAGGAUGAUCAGUCACACUGGAACUGAGACACGGCCCAGACUCCUACGGGAGGCAGCAGUGGGGAAUAUUGGACAAUGGGCGAAAGCCUGAUCCAGCCAUGCCGCGUGUGUGAAGAAGGCCUUCGGAUUGUAAAGCACUUUAAGUUGGGAGGCGUUACCAACAGAAGAAGCACCGGCUAACUUCGUGCCAGCAGCCGCGGUAAUAC